rnacentral:rRNA from 1 species
GACGAACGCUGGCGGCGUGCUUAACACAUGCAAGUCGAACGGAAAGGCCCUGCUUUUGUGGGGUGCUCGAGUGGCGAACGGGUGAGUAACACGUGAGUAACCUGCCCUUGACUUUGGGAUAACUUCAGGAAACUGGGGCUAAUACCGGAUAGGAGCUCCUGCUGCAUGGUGGGGGUUGGAAAGUUUCGGCGGUUGGGGUUGGACUCGCGGCUUAUCAGCUUGAUGGUGGGGUAGUGGCUUACCAAGUCUUGGGCGGGUAGCCGGCCUGAGAGGGUGACCGGGAACAGUGGGACUGAGAUACGGCCAAGACUCCUACGGGAGGCAGCAGUGGGGAAGAGUGCAAAAGGGGAGGAAGCCAGAUGCAGCAGCGCCGCGUGCGGGAUGGCGGCCUUCGGGUUGUAAACCGCUUUCGCCUGUGGCGAAGCGUGAGUGAAGGUAAUGGGUAAAGAAGCACCGGCUAAAUACGUG